GAGUUUGAUCCUGGCUCAGAUUGAACGCUGGCGGCAUGCUUUACACGUGCAAGUCGAACGGUAACAGGGAGCUUGCUCCGCUGACGAGUGGCGAACGGGUGAGCAAUGCGUCGGAACGUGCCGAGUAGUGGGGGAUAACGCAUCGAAAGGUGUGCUAAUACCGCAUACGAACUGAGGUUGAAAGUGGGGGACCUUCGGGCCUCACGCUAUUCGAGCGGCCGACGUCUGAUUAGCUAGUAGGUGAGGUAAAGGCUCACCUAGGCGACGAUCAGUAGCGGGUCUGAGAGGAUGAUCCGCCACACUGGGACUGAGACACGGCCCAGACUCCUACGGGAGGCAGCAGUGGGGAAUUUUGGACAAUGGGCGCAAGCCUGAUCCAGCCAUGCCGCGUGUCUGAAGAAGGCCUUCGGGUUGUAAAGGACUUUUGUCUGGGAGCAAAUACCCGGUGUUAAUAGCGCCGGGGGCUGAGAGUACCAGAAGAAUAAGCACCGGCUAACUACGUGCCAGCAGCCGCGGUAAUAC
rnacentral:rRNA from 1 species